GGGGUGUUAGCUCAGUGGUAGAGCACUUGCCUAGUAUGCAUGAGGCCCUGCAUUCAUCCCU
rnacentral:tRNA from 1 species